UGGAAAAUCCGCAAGGCUGAUGGUUUUCUUUGCUGGCCAUGAGGCUUUUUGUUUGUUUUUGAGUCUUUAGUUUGGUAUUGGUUUGGUAUUUUUCUGUUUUGUACAUAUUUAUGUUUCGUAACCAUCUGAACAAAUAUUUAUCUGCUUUGGCUGGCUGACCAAGAGGUCAAGAAGUAGUUGGGCCUGGACCUAAGGAACUUAGGUAGAGGGACUAUGCGUGUGUGCUCCUGCACAGUGAAAGGAGCCACAGAGGAUGUCCUCCUGAAACAGUCACAUCUUGUCUGACUGGCAGUUCAAGAGCUCUUCAUUACAGCCCCACUGUGUCCAAGGGAAAGAAAAACAACGCGCCCAGCCUGGGACCUGUAACCUUGCCAUUUAAUCAGGAGUUCAAACUGCAUUGUCUCCCACCACCACAUCAUUUAGUCUCUGAGGCUUGAGAGCAACUUUGAGGCAAAUGGCUUCAUAUCAAGCUAGGCAGAAAAAGCUCUCACCGCAUCACACUAGUAAACGCACUUAGACAAAUGUUGAAGAUUUCCAAGGCCCCCUGGAACCUGCGCUAUCAGAAACAACGAUGGGGUUCUGAAGAUGGUAAGGGACGAAGCGCUACAAUGGAUGCUAGCGCACUAGAAACAUAGUUGAAACACACUGCACACAUUACACCAGUAUCAGUGCACAAACAAGCUAACAACAACAGCAACGUAAAAGCUGAACUUGAGCUUGCUUACCAGCUGCUUUAGUGGUUGUCAUUUAACUUAUUGUAGCUAGGUAGCUAGCUAACCAGUGUCCUCCUGCCUAGCUUCCUGAUGCACAGGUCUGCAGAUUCACUUUUUAAUAGGGUUGGGGUCCCCAAAUCAAAUCUGGUUAAGGGCCCCAAAAACAGUAAAACCUGAACUUCUCAAAAAGGUGGCUUACAGAGUUAUAUAUGACUUGUUAUCUACACUAAACAAAAAAUAUAAACACAUGUAAAGUGUUGGUCCCAUGUUUCAUAAGCUGAAAUAAAAGAUCACAGAA